rnacentral:piRNA from 1 species
UAGAAUACUGUCUUUGGGACUACACACACCC